UAUAAUCAGAAACAAUAUCAACCUAUAAGCUCAAUAAUAUGGUUUGAGCGUAUCUACAAUACUACCGUAAAUAGUAUUACUAGGCUAAUUAAGUAUAUAUGC
rfam:Clostridium paraputrificum strain 373-A1 CP373A1_17, whole genome shotgun sequence.